UGUUGGAAAAAGAUUUGCUUGGAAAUCAGAGGUUUGAUUGCUGAGAUUUGAGAAAGAAAAUAACAAUGGCAACUUAGAUUCAGGAUUUCAAUUCUUAUUGUAUCAGCUUGAUGAAAUUGAAAAAUGCUAGUAAAGAUGAAAUCGAACACCCUAUUUGUUCCUAACUUAAUCUCUCUUUUGUCUUUGCAAUCCUUAGACAUUUAUAUUCCAUUGCACAAAUCAGGUAAAACGUGGAGGAGCUGGCAGAGGUAAUUGGGGAGCUCAGAUUGAUAAAUUGGCUGAGUGAGUUUCUCCUUGGCGCCUUUGGUAGUACGUCUUUAAUCAAUAGAAUGGCAUAUACUUUUUCUCAUAUAUCUAAUAUUGUGAUCCUUCUACCAUGGUUUCUAGAGUUACCGACAAAGUCGUCAAUUAUGGUGGGAUCAAUCUGAAUGCUGAAAUGGAAAGAAUGCCCAUGUGACAAGGCAACUUAUUGAACGUA